UUAGAAAAUAGGCUAGCCUAUAACUAUAGUUAGGUAGUAUAGCUAUAUUAUCCUA
rnacentral:tRNA from 1 species